rnacentral:rRNA from 1 species
GGGGAAUUUUGGACAAUGGGCGCAAGCCUGAUCCAGCAAUGCCGCGUGCAGGAUGAAGGCCUUCGGGUUGUAAACUGCUAUUGUACGGAACGAAAAGCCUCACUCUAAUACAGGGGGGUGAUGACGGUACCGUCAAAAUAAGCACGGGCUAACUACGUGGCAGCAGCCGCGGUAAUACGUAGGUGGCAACGUUAAUCGGAAUUAGUGGGCGUAAAGCGUGCGCAGGCGGUUUUGUAAGACAGUGGUGAAAUCCCCGGGCUCAACCUGGGAACUGCCAUUGUGACUGCAAGGCUGGAGCGCGGCAGAGGGGGAUGGAAUUCCGCGUGUAGCAGUGAAAUGCGUAGAUAUGCGGAGGAACACCGAUGGCGAAGGCAAUCCCCUGGGCCUGCACUGACGCUCAUGCACGAAAGCGUGGGGAGCAAACA